AGAUCAAUGGCAUUGCCACUCUAUAAAUACCCUCUUGCUUCACCAUUUCCAUAUCAUCCCCCAACACAACCACCUUCUGAAUGGAGGAGCAGACCAGCAAUCAUGAUCCACCUCCCUCGACUACCAUCUCGCUUCGAUCACAGUUGGAUAAUAAUUUUCUGACUUAUGAUAUCAUCACUUGCUGGCUGUUUAUAGAAUUUCGGUUUGCAUGGCAGGCUCUGAUUCAUGCUCACCGGAGAGACAUGAUUUAGCCCUAUCCAUAUCCCUAUUUCCUCUUCUUUUUUGCUUUUUUUCUCCUUUCCCUUCUCUGCUCCCUAUUUCCUCUUCUGUCUUGCUUUUUUUCUCCUUUUCCUCCUCUGCUUUCUUUUCUUCGUGUGUUUUUUUCUACCCCUCUUUGGAAUAUUAGUUAAUCUUUCCAAUAGUUUGACAAGAUCACCUUUCAUGAUAGUAACAUUCAGCAAAAAAGGGCAAGUUGAAGAAGUCAACAUUUGGUCAAUGGUUAAUGUCAUGAACUAGAAAAUAAGAGCAAGUUAAGAUGUAUACUUCAAACUGCUGCGAAACAUUGGUGAUUGGUCAAUGGUCAUUGCUUUGAUAAGCAGAAUUAUGUAAUUUGAUAAUUUUGUUUGGUUUUUUGUGAGAGAUUUGUUUAUUUGUGACAUGUAAAAAAAGUUUCUCAUAGACAUAUUUAUUUUGAUAUA